CUUUAAAAAUCUGGAUCAAGCUGAAAAUUGAAACACAGAACAACGAAAGUUGUUCGUGAGUCUCUCAAAUUUUCGCAACACGAGAAUGUUUUACGAAACAUCUUCGG
rnacentral:sRNA from 27 species